rnacentral:rRNA from 1 species
UACGAAGGGGGCUAGCGUUGCUCGGAAUCACUGGGCGUAAAGCGCACGUAGGCGGACUCUUAAGUCAGGGGUGAAAUCCCGGGGCUCAACCCCGGAACUGCCUUUGAUACUGGUAGUCUCGAGUCCGGAAGAGGUGAGUGGAAUUCCGAGUGUAGAGGUGAAAAUUCGUAGAUAUUCGGAGGAACACCAGUGGCGAAGGCGGCUCACUGGUCCGGUACUGACGCUGAGGUGCGAAAGCGUGGGGAGCAAACAGGGAUUAGAAAACCCCGGU